ACAUGAAAGAAAAUUCAUCGUGGCGCCACGGACAAUUUCUGUGAAACCAGCGUGGCAUUCAACGUGUUAAUUACGAUCUACAGGUGAAAGGUUGCGUUCAGUGAAUUCGACCUUCCCGAUAGGAACGAACGACAAAUUUUGUACGAACGCGAGCUCAACAAUUAAAUCCGUACGCACUCGAACGUUUCAGAACUGUUCAUUUCCCUUUUUCUGAAUCCUAACAACGGGGUUUAGCUUUUCUCGUAUUCAUGAAUCUUUCUGUGCAAUAGUUACCUGUUCCUUCGAGUCGAUGAUUUUCUCGAGAAUUUCUCUGCAUUUUCCCUCCGAAGCAUUCGCACUUCCGCGUUCGACAAGCGACUUGAACAGCUCAUGAAAACGGUGGGAGUACCACGAGUGCCGAUUGGUUCGAUUUUACCGACGGUAGACCCAAGCCAAUCACGUUCGCGUGCCCUGCUAGAGCUGCACUCGAGCGCCGCCAAGCGGCGACGAUCGUUGCAUUUACGGAAGUUUGAACGAAAGAGAGCUCCCGUACGUUUUUCUCAAAUUACGAUUAAUUAACAGUGUUACGGUGUUAAUUGCAAGUGAUCUUAAUUCGUGUUGCUGGAUUCAGAGACUGGUUUCCGUCGUAAUCGAACAUCUGGCGAUAAUUAUCAUGGCGCGACACAAACACACAAACCUUGUUAAGACCAUCGUUGCAACGUUUCCGAUCGAUAUCCGGAAUGACGAAAACUCACCCUAGAAGCUGAACAUAAAAUCAAUGAGGAUCAUCUCAACGGGUAUACAACUUGUUUUCGGCUAUUUAAAGGAGGGCGGCCUUGAGUCUUGGUCGCAAGGUCAAAGAGGCUCGAACGAAACGGCUCCGCCCUGUGCUAAUGGCGGACUCUCUCGAGCAGGAACUUUGAUAUUUACCGGCGGAGCAGCGGCGGAACGAUCGCGCACCGAUUGUCCGUGAAAUUGACGGCACUUUCGACGGGAAAUGACGAGAUAAAUGCCGGCCCCGUAAUCGCCGGCGCCCAUCAUCCACCUGCUGGAAACCUUCGGACCGAAUGUUACCCAGAGCCGAAGCAUUCUAAUGCGGUGGAUCGCAAUUUCCCAGGGCGAAACCGAGUUACGUAGACCUCUCGGGGAUCUAUCCUCCUCUUUCGUUCCCGAUCGACGGAACACCGGUUCGAGGGAGAAAGAUAAACACAGCGAAGGGUGUGAGAGACGAGCCCACGGUACACCCACGGAAUAGUCCUCCGGAUCGAUCCGCAUCCGGUCGUCUUCGUCUUUUCCAUUGAUGUCCUCUCGCUCUCUCUGCACCGAGCAAUCUAUAUUCUCUUGCCCGCCCACGCGAUCUGCCCCUUUAUCACGGUCCUCUUGCUUGAUCAGACCACCCCCGCCCUCGGCUUCUUCCAUGGAUCCCCUCGCCCUUCUCUUGCUCCUUUUUCCCCCGAAGGCUUUUCGUCCGGGUUUCGUUCCCGUCGCUCUUUAUUCAUCUUUUCAGCCGGCCCGAGUUGCGACCGGGCUUUGCCCGAUUUUACCCCUUGUAUCAAUAAUUGCGCACCCUUUUCAACAUUCUAUUCAAUUAUUUUUUGUCCCCGGUAAAAUGCUUCAAUGUCCGGCCAGUGUGUCGUUGUUCGGCACAUUUCCAAUCGAUAUCUGUUUCGAGCCUGCAAUUUUGUUAUCGGAAAAGUACUAAAACUGGACGAUAAAUUGGAAUUACCUUUGUUGGAUAACGGAGUACCCUUGCUGGAGAAAGAGAUAAGGAGUGUAGGAGAAAGUAGAAAUUCUCCAGGCGAUUAAGAACUGUAAUAUAUUUUGCUGCGAUAACAAAUAUAAAAUCGAUAAAAAUGAAUGUUUGAGAAAUGGAAUUAUGUGAAAGGUGUAUAAAACAGUAACGUAAUAUAGCAACUGAUCGUAGGGAUACCCGGGAUAUAUUUUAUAAAAUAUGUAGAUAUUUGUAUAGAUAUUUAUAUAGAUUAUAAAACAACGCCGAAAAUUUUGGUUACUGACAUAAGGCUUAAUAAGCUUAUCUUUUUAAAACGAGCUUCUGCGGGGCACGCGAUAUAGAUUGAGAAAGUUUCCGUGAAACUUGCGUAGCCUAAUUCGAAUCUACGAGCAGCCGAUUGCUAGCAGAUAUCUGUAGUCACGACCUCCUCGAGUUUGAUGGGAAUAUUGGGGCAGAGAGUUCCCUUGCAUAAUUAGGUUUUGUGCACCCAAGGCUUUGAUUUUACGUGUCCAAGCUUGGCGCAAGUACAAACUUACGUCGAUAUCAGCUGUGGCACGAGUUUGGUACAUAUUUAAUCUUGGACACCAUCUAGACACCACGUGCCGACUCAAAGGGUGAUCCCUCGUUUACAGAUUCGCCGAGAUAGGUUCUACAACUGAUACUGACCUCAAUAUUUCACUCCAUCGCCCUUCUCUUGCUCCGUUUUUCACGUAGGCUUUUCUUCCGGGUUUCGUUCCUGCCGCUCUUUAUUCACCUUUUCAGUCGGCCCGGAUUGCGACUCGGGAUUUGCCAAUUUUAAUCAAGCUUAUCUUUUUAAGGCGAGCUUUUGCGAGGGACGCGAUCGAUUGGGAUAGUUCGCGUGAUACUUGUACAGUCUAAUUUCGAAUUAGACGUAUGAACAGCCAAUCGAUGUUCUUCCGCCCUUAGAUAAAAUAUCUUAUCUACUAAUUUGCCAUUUUUCAGGAUUUUUGAAAAUAUAAAAGUAUAUUCUACAUACUCCAUACAGUUCCAAAUGUAAUUCCAUGUAUUUAUUUUCACUUAUAUAAAAAGGAUUUUAUUAAUUCAAAGCUUUAAUUAUUGGACGAUCAGAAACGUUAAUCAGGACAAUUUAACUAAGGAAAGCAGUGUAAACGAAAUCUCGAUCUCCUGGAGUCGUAAAGGAAAAUUGAAGGUAAAGGAUUCUCUCUUGCAAAACUAGGUUCGUCGGGGGUUUUGUGUAAACUCGAGAAGGCUUUGAUUUUGCACGUUUAAGUCUUAGCAUAUGUUUAAGCUUCCAUCGAUGUAGUUUCGCAGGUGCGGCACGAGCUCGGCAUAUAUUUAAUUUUGGUCACCUUUCUUGGCGCCACGUGCUGGGUCAAAGGGUGAUCCCUCGCUUAUAGAUCCACCAAAAUAGGUUCUACAACUGAUACCAACCUGAAUGUAUAAUCCUCCUGUACACGGGUCAAUAAAACACCCCGCAAUAGCCA